rnacentral:rRNA from 1 species
UACGUAGGGGGCAAGCGUUGUUCGGAAUUACUGGGCGUAAAGCGCGUGUAGGCGGUCUGGCAAGUCAGAUGUGAAAGCCCCGGGCUCAACUUGGGAACUGCAUUUGAUACUGCCAAGCUAGAGUACAGAAGAGGUGACUGGAAUUCCCAGUGUAGCGGUGAAAUGCGUAGAGAUCAUGAGGAAGACCAGUGGCGAAGGCGGGUCUCUGGACAGUUCCUGACACUGAGGCACGAAGGCCAGGGGAGCAAACGGG